CACUGCGUAUCUGUUGCAUGAAAAUAUAACAGACAAGGACUCACUCACAAACUUUGGCUCUCCAAGGAAUUCCUGUCCUGAUACGAGGAACACCGCGUACUUUGGAGACACAAAAUUAGUGAUUAUUCCGUGUCACCACUGAACGACACUCACAACAAAAGCGAUGAUCAAAGGCGUCCACUGAACACGCUGUAUCCAUGCCUAGUCCUUGAGGCUCCUGAAUAUUAUCUGCCAUAGGUUACGACUUAUACGAGUACAGCAGAGUCUCGAAUCCCUUCAGAGACAUUUUCACCUUCAACCGCAUCGCUGCUUCCUCGUCGCAUGUUUCUCCCGGUGUGUCGGUCUGCUUGCUCUGAACCUUGCGUCACAUCUUCUUGACCCAUUUGUGGAUCAGCGGAAUUGCCAAGAUGACGAUUCUUCGAAUUGUUGACAUCAGGAAUUUUUUCCAACUGCAAGCACGCUUGUUUUUUCUGGGCGCUUCUUGACUCACUGAAAUCAUCUUUGAGGGAAUCGAUUGGAACCGUGAGACCAGAAGCCGCUGCUGAAGGCAACUCGGUCGUUGUCUGCAGUAAGUUGUGGUGCGGACUGUAAAGGUGUUGUGGAAUCUCCAGAGACUCCGCAAGCUUCUGCAGCUCUGCAAAACUCAACCCUAGCGCCGCCUUGCCCAACAUUUCCGCCGAAUCAUCGUCGAACGAGUUUCGAUUCACCGCUGCAGGCCGGUCGGCCUUGGAGUCUUUUACUCUUUUAGGCGCGACAACAUUCGCUUCUUGUCUUGCGCUGCCAUCGGACAAUCCUGCCGCGGAUAGGGAACAUGAGAAAACCGACUCCACAGCUCGACAGCCAAGGAUUUGCGAGAACACGAUUCAUCUGGAGACGCAGAGCCCUGAUACAGUGGUCCGGACGGCAGUGUAAGCCGAAGCGCACUGCGAGCCUUGUCCGCGCCUUCGGGGACGGACCAAUUCGGACCUCGCGGUCGAGCUCUCUUUUUGAGGGCACCCGGCAGCUGAGACUCCGCUUCCACACACUCAUGCUUGUCUAAGGCAUGACCACGAGGAAAGAUUGGCGCCAAGAGCUGCUGCCCAUAAGAGGCAGCGCAGCCUUCUGCAGAUCCUACAGUGCCAACGCCGUUUACAUUUCCCGUAGAAAACGAGUCAGCACCUGCGUAGGUCGAACUACGCAGCACUGCAGUGGCGGGGUGGUCGAGUCCCAGAUGCCGCUGGCCAAUUUCUCCACCUGACAGUACGGCUUCCAAACCGAGCGGGCUCGGAGGCCGCACAGCGGGGCGGACGCGUCGUGAGCGGACCAUGUGCUGGAGGCUAUCUCCAUCACUUCCAGUUUGUGAGGAACUGGGGGACUUGGCGUUAGUCGAUCCUUCCCGGAGGAUACGACUCAGGUCUUGCGUCGAGGGCGCAUUCACGUCACCUGAGACAGCCGAAGCAAGCGGUCCUGUUGCGAAUGCUUCGGGCUCGUCCCAGUCCACCAUCUGAUCAGGGUUCCCUAAUGCCUCCAGUUGAGAGCGAACGUCGCGAUUCCCUCGGUCAUCUACAGCUGAGGUGGUGCUAGGGGUUCGACGGAACGGCGGCACUCUCCAGGGUAAGCCUGUCCCCAGAAGGGAACUUUUAUGCAGAAGCGUCAGCUGCUGCUGCGCCUCUACGACACUCUGUUGCACUGCUGCGAUCCCUCUCAGCAUGUCUUUCGCUUCAGUCAGGAGUGACCACAGGGCUUGGAAACCGUGGCUGCCGUUGGUGUCAAGAAGUUGUGAGACAUCGUCGUCCAAGAAAAGCCUGCGCCCGUCCUUACCAGACACAAACGGUGCCAGUCCAUCAGUCGACGGACUGCCACGCCUUAAGGUGUGCUCCCCUGUCAGGCGCUGUGGCGGAUCAUCCUUGGACAUGCGGCCCAGAGAAUCCUGUCGAUCUGGAGAGGAAGGCAGAUUAUCGGUCGAGCAACCGGUGGUUGUGUCUGGCGUAGCGUGGCCGGGUUUUGACUCGGAAUUCGAUGUGCAGUAAUCAGGAGCACCGCGAGGAGUUGUAGUUGAACUUGUAGUCAGCUUGUCAGCGAGUCUUUCCGAGCACUUCUUGUCCCCUGAUUCGGAAGAGGCUGCCCAUGCAGCGGUUUCUAGCAGGGAAUUCAAUGGACACCAUGCGCCAUCCCCAGUUUGAAGCCGUGACACCGCGUUGCUUCCCAAGCAGCUGACUUCCCCGUUGCCUGUGAACCCGGAAGACCUGCAGGGAGAAAUCACGAACACACACUGCUGGGUGAUACCAUGGGUACUGUACCAAAAAAAUUGAUUGAUGGAGGCCCAGAAGAGCGGAAUUGUGUGUGUGAAGGCGAUUCCGCCUCGAAUAGAAUUUCUGUCAACCCCAAAACGAUGCAAAACAUAUUAUAUACGUUGCUAAGAGUAUACGCACAGGUACACACACACUUUUGAAGCACAAUACACUCCUUUGCCUGUCGUCUUUGAAUUGGCUAUUGGACACCCAUUAUCGUAAAGAAGAGUCGGAGUCGUCGAACGCCUUCUUGAACACAUUCGAGUUGUGUCUCCACUCUAUUAAUGCCACGAUGAGCACACUUACGUUGACGUGUCGCUUGUAAUUUUUCUUGGAUAGCCGCAGUUCUCCGCCAAUACAUUCGGGAC
rnacentral:lncRNA from 1 species